rnacentral:tRNA from 1 species
AGUUACUUCGGUUAUAGCAUUUGUCUUGUAAACAAAAGUAUAUUGGUUCAAAUCCAAUCAUCCCCA